AUUGAACGCUGGCGGCAGGCCUAACACAUGCAAGUCGAGCGAGUGGCGGACGGGUGGGUAAUGUAUCGGCAACUGCCUGAUGGAGGGCGAUAACUACUGGAAGCUGUUGCUAAUACCGCCUACCAUCGGAUGUGCCCAGAUGGGAUUAGCUAGUGGGUGGGGUAAAGGCAUACCUAGGCGACGAUCCCUAGCUGGUCUGAGAGGAUGAUCAGCCACACUGGAACUGAGACACGGUCCAGACUCCUACGGGAGGCAGCAGUGGGGAAUAUUGGACAAUGGGCGAAAGCCUGAUCCAGCCAUGCCGCGUGUGUGAAGAAGGCCUUCGGAUUGUAAAGUACUUUAAGCGGGGAGGCGUUACCAGCAGAAGAAGCACCGGCUAACUCCGUGCCAGCAGCCGCGGUAAUAC
rnacentral:rRNA from 1 species